UGCCCAGCAACUCCUAUCUCUACCUCAUCGCGGUACUGGUAACCUUAGAGAAAAUCGAAUAACCAACCCGGUAGAACUCUGGUCGUAUGCUGACAGAGAAGG
rnacentral:ribozyme from 1 species